rnacentral:rRNA from 1 species
AUUGAACGCUGGCGGCAUGCUUUACACAUGCAAGUCGAACGGUAGAGGGGGCAACCCCUUGAGAGUGGCGAACGGGUGAGUAAUGCAUCGGAACGUGCCCAGUCGUGGGGGAUAACGCAGCGAAAGCUGUGCUAAUACCGCAUACGAUCUCUGGAUGAAAGCGGGGGACCGGAAGGCCUCGCGCGAUUGGAGCGGCCGAUGUCAGAUUAGGUAGUUGGUGGGGUAAAGGCUCACCAAGCCAACGAUCAGUAGCUGGUCUGAGAGGACGACCAGCCACACUGGGACUGAGACACGGCCAGACUCCUACGGGAGGCAGCAGUGGGGAAUUUUGGACAAUGGGCGCAGGCCUGAUCCAGCCAUUCCGCGUGCAGGAUGAAGGCCCUCGGGUUGUAAACUGCUUUUGUACGGAACGAAACGGUCUGCUCUAAUACAGCGGGCUAAUGACGGUACCGUAAGAAUAAGCACCGGCUAACUACGUGCCAGCAGCCGCCGCAG